rnacentral:piRNA from 1 species
UAAUAACCUCAUGAACUGGCUGUACCAGGA